UAACAGAUGCAAAAUGUAGGACUGACAGGAUGUAUGCCCCUGUAAACAGGAUGGGGCUUAAUCCCUUGGAAAGUAAUGUAAUGCAAUUCAAUGCAAGAUUUCACAGGGACUUUAGGUGAUUUUGUUUCCCAGGAAAACCUAACAGAAUUAUGCAGCUGUACAUCCUUGGGAUGGGCACCAAUAGACCAAAAAAAAAAAAGUAUUAUUUUUCAAAGAGCAGACUAAAUCUCACCUCAUUUCCCCCACGAUAUUUGCUCUCUGCUUUCUAGGAAGAAGAAGCAAAGCACACCAUUGAUGUGUGUGGGUUUGAUGUAGCAUCUUCUAAGAGGUCUACAAAGAGACAUUGCAAAGCCAGGCCUCUAAAUGAUUCCUCUGUGAAACAUUGGGCCAAACAUUCCGUAACCCCUUCCUGCUCUGGUGAUCAUGCUCCCAUGACCAGAUCAUUGAACCAUUCUAGAGACUUCAAAUCCAUUGAGAUGGGAUUAAUGCCUUUGCCUACUCAGGCAGAGGACAGACUGACCAUUGCAAGUGUUCAUCAGCAUUUUCCUGCUCUUAGACGGAAAGGCCAAGGCCACCCCAAGCAUGCUGAAAUUAAUGGGCCAUCGUCAGGAAGGAGUUCACAACUGUAUAUGGAGCCAGAACAAAUGGAGAGACCUCGUUCAGUCGAUGGAUGGUAGCAACAAGGAAGAAAGCAAAUGGAGAAAUGACAUCUCAUGACCCAGUGACAUCAAGCAGGAGAAAAGGAUAUACUCUCCAUUGUGUGGUCUGUGGACUGGCAGCAUCAUCAUGGGUGAGAAAUGAAAAACGUGGGGUCUUCCCUCACAUGGAUCAGUAUCUGCAGUUUCACAAGCUCCCGAGGGGUGAGUGCACAUGAAGGAUUGAGUAUUGCUCCAAAUAACCAGACCAACAAGGUAAGUGUGGUGCUUUUUGGUUUUACCCGAUUACAGGUGUCCAUUUAGUUGUGAUACAGCAACAGACAUAUUCAUUCCUUCUUGGCUACAUCUUAUUGUUUGGCAAGAUAUCUGUAUUUAGACACAUUACUAUGGUACAGCGGUUCUCAAAGUGUGGUCCACGGACUGGAAGUAUCAGCCUCACUUGGGAAUCUGUUAGAGAUGCAAAUUCUCUGGCCACACCCCAGACCUACUGAAUCAGAAACUCUGGGACUGGGGCUCAAAGUCUGUGUCUUGACCAGCGUUCCAGAUAAUUCUGAUGGGCUGUGGUAGUGAGACCCACUACUGUAGUACCUAGCUGCUCCAAUAAGCAGACAAUCUUGUCAUUAUAAAGCAGUCUACCAGAGUUUGAAGCAGUAGAAAAUCAAUGACUAAUGGAGAACAGGAAUGAUAAUCCAGCUCAGUUUCAUUUUUAUCUUAGAAUUAAUUGGAAAAUGUAUAGGUCGAGUGUUUCUUUCUAAUCUUUCUUUAAAUGCUCGGCCAGUGCCUGGAUUUUUGCCUUUAAUUCUAAUGUCCUCCUUGCUCAGGGAGGAUGCCUUUGGUGGAAGCCAAAGUUACUGCCUAAAAGACCAGUUUACUACAAAUAGGUAAGAAGAAACCUGCCUAAAAUCAAUCACCUACUUUAAGUUAAUCAGAUGUUCUAAGUGGAUGAUUUAUAUGACUCACAAAGGGCAUUUCAAAAAAGUUGCUGUGGACCCAGCUUCAGCAGUGAAUUUUGUGUUCUAGGUGAAUAAAAAGGAAAGUUUUGCAAGCAAAUGCUGACUUGCAGAUGGGCAGGUACUGCAUAGUUCAUGAACAGGAGGCACACCUGCUCUGAAGUUCUGCAGCCAACAAAGCUGUUUAAAGAGAAAGGGAGAAGCAAUCAGUAUUACCCACUGGUGCCUCCAAGAAGUGCCAAAGGAGGUACUUCUCAUUUUAAACAAGUCGAAUAAUAAGGUGCAGAUUAGAAUCAAAUGUGUAGGCAAUCCUUUUUCCUGGGCAGCACUGCCUCCACUCAGAGCCGGUCACAGAUGAGCAAAAUUGACUUCCUGGCUUAUCUCAUUUUCAGUUGAAAAUAUUGUUGAUGCAUUUGCUUCUAUGAAAGCCAGGAAAGUAAAAUUAUAGUAGAUCCAAUUUUAGGUAUGAAGAAAUACUUCAACAUAAAAUAAUGUGAGCUUUAAUACACUGGUCUUUCAAUUUUUCAAUAAUUUCUCAACUUCUUCAAUGGCCCAUAAAAAAAGAACUACAAAAAUAUAUAUAAAGAUAUACGUAUAUCAGGUAGACAUUUUCAGUUUUGCCUUAGGCUUCGAUAAAGAUUGACAAGGUAUUGUUGGGCUACAUCAUUUAUUUAAAAAUCUUGAUAUUUUGUUCAUGAACAUUUUUCCAUUGUUUUUAAAAAUUCAUUAAAAUAUUAUUUAUCUUCAUUACUGAUUUUUGGCACCCUCUUAAAUUAGCCCAAGGCUAGUGCCUUCCUUGUCUCACCCUCGUCCUGGAUCUGCUGCAGAGAAUUGAGUUCAACUUAUUGGGAUGAAAAAAAUUGUUUUUUCUUGUUAAACAUCAUAGUGCAAUGAAGAUAUAUUGGGCUUUUGAAUAAAACGGGACAUCUUUUGAAUCCUUGCUGUCAUUUACUAGUUUGUGAUUUUGUGGAUAUGUAAUACUGUUUGAUGUCCUAACUUCCCUGAAAAUCAGUUUUAUAAGUUAACUUGUGUUUUUAUAUUUGUUAGAUAUUUUUGUUCCAUUAUGUAAAUUGCAUGUUCUCUGAAUAUAUUUCUG
rnacentral:lncRNA from 1 species